GAUGAACGCUGGCGGCGUGCCUAAUACAUGCAAGUCGAGCGAACAGAUGAGGAGCUUGCUCCUCUGACGUUAGCGGCGGACGGGUGAGUAACACGUGGAUAACCUACCUAUAAGACUGGGAUAACUUCGGGAAACCGGAGCUAAUACCGGAUAAUAUAUUGAACCGCAUGGUUCAAUAGUGAAAGACGGUUUUGCUGUCACUUAUCGAUGGAUCCGCGCCGCAUUAGCUAGUUGGUAAGGUACCGGCUUAUCAAGGCAACGAUGCGUAGCCGAACUGAGAGGGGGGUCGGCCACACUGGAACUGAGACACGGUCCAGACUCCUACGGGAGGCAGCAGUAGGGAAUCUUCCGCAAUGGGCGAAAGCCUGACGGAGCAACGCCGCGUGAGUGAUGAAGGUCUUCGGAUCGUAAAACUCGGUUAUUAGGGAAGAACAAAUGUGUAAGUAACUAUGCACGUCUUGACGGUACCUAAUCAGAAAGCCACGGCUAACUACGUG
rnacentral:rRNA from 1 species